ACGUCUCAGUUCGGACUGUGGUCUGCAACCCGACCACACGAAGCUGGAAUCGCUAGUAAUCGUGAAUCAGAAUGUCACGGUGAAUACGUUCCCGGGUCUUGUACACACCGCCCGUCACACCAUGGGAGUCAGCAACGCCCGAAGUCAGUGACCUAACCGAAAGGGAGGAGCUGCCGAAGGCGGGGCCGGUAACUGGGGUGAAGUCGUAACAAGGUAUC
rnacentral:rRNA from 1 species